rnacentral:rRNA from 1 species
ACUCCUACGGGAGGCAGCAGUAGGGAAUCUUCCACAAUGGACGCAAGUCUGAUGGAGCAACGCCGCGUGAGUGAAGAAGGUUUUCGGAUCGUAAAGCUCUGUUGUUGGUGAAGAAGGAUAGAGGUAGUAACUGGCCUUUAUUUGACGGUAAUCAACCAGAAAGUCACGGCUAACUACGUGCCAGCAGCCGCGGUAAU